AUUGAACGCUGGCGGCAUGCCUUACACAUGCAAGUCGAACGGCAGCACGGGAGCAAUCCUGGUGGCGAGUGGCGAACGGGUGAGUAAAGUAUCGGAACGUGCCCAGUCGUGGGGGAUAACGUAGCGAAAGUUACGCUAAUACCGCAUACGAUCUAUGGAUGAAAGCGGGGGAUCGCAAGACCUCGCGCGAUUGGAGCGGCCGAUAUCAGAUUAGGUAGUUGGUGGGGGUAAAGGCUCACCAAGCCGACGAUCUGUAGCUGGUCUGAGAGGACGACCAGCCACACUGGGACUGAGACACGGCCCAGACUCCUACGGGAGACAGCAGUGGGGAAUUUUGGACAAUGGGCGAAAGCCUGAUCCAGCCAUGCCGCGUGCAGGAUGAAGGCCUUCGGGUUGUAAACUGCUUUUGUACGGAACGAAAAGGUUUGGCCUAAUAAGCUGAGCUCAUGACGGUACCGUAAGAAUAAGCACCGGCUAACUACGUGCCAGCAGCCGCAGUAA
rnacentral:rRNA from 1 species